rnacentral:lncRNA from 1 species
CUUACACCCACAACAAAGAUGAACAUUCGAUUUAGUGACAGAAAAGUUAACAUAUCAGUUAUUCAAUUUGCCAUCAAAUUUAAUUUAUUAAUGAUAUAGUAUUUUAUAUAGUACCUUUGCCACACACACAUACACACACUCUCCCGUUCUCUUUCUGUUUCACACACCAGCACACUUAUACGCACACAUAUACACACUUACUUCCACACACACACACACACUGUGAUAUGUGUUUGACACUGUCUGUGCUGAAGGAACACAUUGAGGAGCUGAGUAUCCUGAACCGCUCCCAGCUGAGGGGGGCUCCAGAGGGGAGCGUGAUGGACUCCUUGAGGCGGCAGCUGAGGGACAAGGACGAGGAGCUGCGGCACGUGCAGAGGAGCAUGGGCCAGUGGAAGGAGAAGACCGCCGCACGGCUGGCCCGUAAGUUUGAGGAGGAGCUGACGUCCGAACUCGAGAGAUGCAAAGCAGACAUACUCAGGAGAAGAAGAACUCCAAGAGUGUGUUCAGACCGGGAGAAGAAGCUUCAGCGUCUAGAAGAGGAGAUGAGGCAGCUUACCAUGGUACGCUCUCAGUCAUUCAGCAGCCAUCUGG